rnacentral:rRNA from 1 species
GACGAACCGUGCAAACGUUGUUCGGAAUCACUGGGCUUAAAGGGCGCGUAGGCGGGCGGGCAGGUCCGGGGUGAAAUCUUUCGGCCCAACCGGAAAAGGGCCUUGGAUACUGCUCGUCUGGAGGGGGGUAGGGGCAGACGGAACUUCCGGUGGAGCGGUGGAAUGCGUUGAUAUCGGAAGGAACGCCGGUGGCGAAAGCGGUCUGCUGGACCCCUACUGACGCUGAGGCGCGAAAGCCAGGGGAGCAAACGGG